UCCUGAGACAUUACCCGGUUAUAACCUGGUUAUAACCUAGUUAUAUCCUGAGACAUUACCUGGUUAUAACCUGGUUAUAACCUGGUUAUGUCCUGAAACAUUAC
rnacentral:miRNA from 1 species